UUAGAGUUUGAUCCUGGCUCAGGACGAACGCUGGCGGCGUGCUUCAUACAUGCAAGUCGAGCGAGGUCCAUCCGGGGGUAACCCUGGUGAAGACCUAGCGGCGAACGGGUGAGUAACACGUGAGCAACCUGCCCCGAACACUGGGAUAAGCCCGGGAAACUGGGUCUAAUACCGGACACCCUCACGGAACCGCAUGGCUCUGUGAGGAAAGGUCCGCUGGUUCGGGAUGGGCUCGCGGCCUAUCAGCUUGUUGGCGGGGUAACGGCCCACCAAGGCAUCGACGGGUAGCUGGCCUGAGAGGGUGACCAGCCACACUGGGACUGAGACACGGCCCAGACUCCUACGGGAGGCAGCAGUAGGGAAUCUUGCGCAAUGGGCGAAAGCCUGACGCAGCGACGCCGCGUGCGGGAUGACAGCCUUCGGGUUGUAAACCGCUUUUGGCAGGACGAAGCGAAAGUGACGGUACCUGCAGAAUAAGCCCCGGCC
rnacentral:rRNA from 1 species